rnacentral:sRNA from 1 species
GGAUUACUCCUUUACGCUUUCGCGUUUGGUUGAUAAAGAUUCGCACCUCUAUCAAACCGGGUAAUCCCACCUCUUGGCAAGACCUGCUGUCAGAUCAAAUCUGAACUACUACACAUUAUGUAACUGGGCUAGGGGGGUGGACUCACCUCGGCUAUCUACCGGAUCUAUCAUCACCCAGAUCUGCCCGAUAUGGUCAAUCAACCGGUUU